AGGGGUUGAUGUAAGGCUUUUUACGCGCAGCUGUAUUUCGGAAAGUUGUAGUUUCAAAGAUUUCAUUGAAGAUAUCCUGGCGAAUACUUCAUGUAAAGUGAAGUCAAACUCUUAAAGUAAAAGUGAAAGUGAGACAGAUUUUUUGUUUGAGGAAUCUUGUGUUGUGAUGUUAACGAAUUCAAAUGAACUGAGGAGCUGUUUCUGCAAGGACAGGACGUACUUCUGGACGGUGAUAGCGACUCCGACUGGGAGGCCCCGGUGCCAAGCUGCCCGCUCUACCUGUGCCCCCAGUGGUGUUCAUAUGCCACAGUUCAUUACUGCAGGCAUAACUGUGCCUCAGAGCCAAAAGGGGACAGCGUGGAGGUGUCGUUGUGUUCUGUGUCGCAUGAAAUGCACCACUUGUUCAGUUUGCCUCUGCUUUACAUCAGAAAGAGACUGCUAUGGGACAUGGCACAGGCUGCAAAAUAUUAUGACGAGGACUUCCAAGGGGACCUGAGCCCUAGGACCAUGCCUCAGGACUACCUAGCAUGAUGACUCCUUGCUGUCCCCAGUCCACCUGGCUGUGCUGCUGCUCCAGUUUCAACUGUUCUGCCUGCGGCUAUGGAAUCCUGACCUGUUCACCAGACGUGCUACCUGUCCCAGACCUGCUGUUUUCAACACUCUAGAGACAGCAGGAGCGGUAGAGAGACUCUCAAUGAUUGGCAAUGAAAAGCCAACUGACAUUUAGUCCUGAGGUGCUGACUCGUUGCACCCUCGACAACUACUGUGAUUAUUAUUAUUUGACCCUGCUGGUCAUUUAUGAACAUUUGAAUAUCUUGGCCAUGUUCUGUUAUAAUCUCCACCCUGCACAGCCAGAAGAGGACUGGCCACCUCUCAUAUCCUGGUUCCUCUCUAGGUUUCUUCCUAGUUUUUGGCCUUUCUAGUGAGUUUUUCCUAGCCAACGUGCUUCAAAACCUGCAUUGCUUGCUGUUUGGGGUUUUAGGCUUGGUUUCUGUACAGCACUUUGAGAUAUCAGCUGAUGUAUGAAGGGCUAUAUAAAUCAAUUUGAUUUGAUUUGAUUUCCAGUUGCUCUGAUAAAAGUAGUAUAGGGGCCACAGGGUGAGUGUACACUUAAGGUUUAGAUCACUUCUGCAGCUUCUAGCGGCUGCACUAGCUCCAAUUAGAGCCUAGAGUGUGUUAAGACUACAUGGGUGUGUUAAGUCUAAAUGGGUGUGUUAAGACUACAUGGGUGUGUUAAGACUACAUGGGUGUGUUAAGACUACAUGGGUGUGUUAAGUCUAAAUGGGUGUGUUAAGACUACAUGGGUGUGUUAAGACCACAUGGGUGUGUUAAGUCUAAAUGGGUGUGUUAAGACUACAUGGGUGUGUUAAGACCACAUGGGUGUGUUAAGACUGCAUGGUUGGGUUUAUGAAUGCACCUAUGGACGACUAUGUAGAUGUGUCUGUACAUAUAUUUUAGUUUAUGAGUGUUUCAUAUCCACUCAGUGGCCAGUUUAUUGGUUUUCCGGGUUGGACACUCCUCCAGAACAGCCUGAAUUAGUCGGGGCAUGUAAACGUUGCUCAGUUGGUAUCCAAUGAACUACCGUGUGCCAGACAAACAUCCCCCACAUUAUUACACCACGGACACAUGCCUGUACCGUUGAAACCAGGACCCAUGCUGCAUACGCCAAAUCCUGACUGCCAUCAGCACGACGCAACAGGAACCCAGGUUGUGUUUUGAACCAGGAAAUGUUUUUCCACUCCUCAGUUGUCCGGUGUUGGUGAUGGCGUUCCCAUUGGAGCCGGUUCUUCUUCUUGGUUUUAGCUGAUAGGAGUAGAACCCGGUGUGGUCGUCUGCUACAGAGAACAACGAGGUGUGUACUCCGAGAUGCCGUUCUGCACACCACCGUUCGACCUCUCAUCGUCGAGCUGUUUUCCCCCCACAGGACUGCCGCCGACUGUAUGCCUGGCACCUACGAUCACACCAAAGUGACUGAAGGUCACUUGUUUUGACCAUUCUAACAUUCAAUGGAACAGUGACUGAAGGCCUCUAUACCUGUCUGCCUGAUUAACAUAGCAAGUCACGUCCACCUCACUCACUGUCUCUAGGAGCAACCAUUUUCGUGAAACCGGGAACUGAGUGUAUAUCCGUACUUGUGAGGAGGCCCCUGACUGAAUGAGCAGCAGCCCUGUGGUGUGUAGUGACUGAAGCUACCCUACCUCUGUACGGUGGCUCAGCCCUGUGGUGUGUAGUGACUGAAGCUUCCCUACCUCUGUAUGGUGGC